GCUUAGACAGGCCAGUGCCAGCUGGGCAGCCACAGGGCAGAGCUCCUGGAAGCCUCUCUCACCAUGGACUGGGCUCCCUUCUACCUCCUGCCCCUGGUUUUCUCCACAGGUCUCUGUGCUGAUCCUGUGCUGACCCAGCCCCCGUCUGCUUCUGCCUCCCUGGGAGCCUCGGCCAAGCUCACCUGCACCCUCAGCAGUGAGCACAGCAGCUACACCAUUGCAUGGUACCAGCAGCAGCCAGGGAAGGCCCCUCGGUAUUUGAUGUAUCUUAGCAGUAGUGGAAGCUACGGCAAGGGGGACGGGAUCCCGGACCGGUUCUCAGGCUCCAGCUCUGGGGCCGACCGCUACUUGACCAUCUCCAACCUCCAGUCUGAGGACGAGGCUGACUAUUACUGUGUAACAGGGGACAGCAGUGGUAAUGCCACAGUGACACAGGCCAAUGGGGAAGUAGGACAAAAACCACCUUCCCCAUCUGUGUCACACUCCCUUUUGACACAAAUAGGACCAGAGACAAAGCCAAGAGCAGGUCUGGCCCCAGUCCCCAGACCUCAGAUCCUCAGGUGGCCGCCUCCUCAGCCUCAGGCAGCUGUGCAGAGGGUGGGACAGCAGUGGAUUCAGUCUCACAGGACAUGA